rfam:Gossypium arboreum cultivar AKA8401 contig_144771_1, whole genome shotgun sequence.
AACCCAUGUUGAGGGCACCUUGUUAAAAGGUCCUUGUAUCUCUCCUAUGCAUCGUAGAGUGUUUCUAAAUUCAUCUGCACAUAAGAAGAGAUAUCAUUACGUAGUUAGGCU